CCUAGGUGCUUGCAUCUUGAUUUAAUUUUGAACGAGUGGCGGACGGGUGAGUAACACGUGGGUAACCUGCCCUUAAGUGGGGGAUAACAUUUGGAAACAGAUGCUAAUACCGCAUAAAUCCAAGAACCGCAUGGUUCUUGGCUGAAAGAUGGCGUAAGCUAUCGCUUUUGGAUGGACCCGCGGCGUAUUAGCUAGUUGGUGAGGUAACGGCUCACCAAGGCAAUGAUACGUAGCCGAACUGAGAGGUUGAUCGGCCACAUUGGGACUGAGACACGGCCCAAACUCCUACGGGAGGCAGCAGUAGGGAAUCUUCCACAAUGGACGCAAGUCUGAUGGAGCAACGCCGCGUGAGUGAAGAAGGCUUUCGGGUCGUAAAACUCUGUUGUUGGAGAAGAAUGGUCGGCAGAGUAACUGUUGUCGGCGUGACGGUAUCCAACCAGAAAGCCACGGCUAACUACGUGCCAGCAGCCGCGGUAAUACGUAGGUGGCAAGCGUUAUCCGGAUUUAUUGGGCGUAAAGCGAGCGCAGGCGGUUUUUUAAGUCUGAUGUGAAAGCCCUCGGCUUAACCGAGGAAGUGCAUCGGAAACUGGGAAACUUGAGUGCAGAAGAGGACAGUGGAACUCCAUGUGUAGCGGUGAAAUGCGUAGAUAUAUGGAAGAACACCAGUGGCGAAGGCGGCUGUCUGGUCUGUAACUGACGCUGAGGCUCGAAAGCAUGGGUAGCGAACAGGAUUAGAUACCCUGGUAGUCCAUGCCGUAAACGAUGAAUGCUAGGUGUUGGAGGGUUUCCGCCCUUCAGUGCCGCAGCUAACGCAUUAAGCAUUCCGCCUGGGGAGUACGACCGCAAGGUUGAAACUCAAAGGAAUUGACGGGGGCCCGCACAAGCGGUGGAGCAUGUGGUUUAAUUCGAAGCAACGCGAAGAACCUUACCAGGUCUUGACAUCUUUUGAUCACCUGAGAGAUCAGGUUUCCCCUUCGGGGGCAAAAUGACAGGUGGUGCAUGGUUGUCGUCAGCUCGUGUCGUGAGAUGUUGGGUUAAGUCCCGCAACGAGCGCAACCCUUAUGACUAGUUGCCAGCAUUUAGUUGGGCACUCUAGUAAGACUGCCGGUGACAAACCGGAGGAAGGUGGGGAUGACGUCAAAUCAUCAUGCCCCUUAUGACCUGGGCUACACACGUGCUACAAUGGAUGGUACAACGAGUUGCGAGACCGCGAGGUCAAGCUAAUCUCUUAAAGCCAUUCUCAGUUCGGACUGUAGGCUGCAACUCGCCUACACGAAGUCGGAAUCGCUAGUAAUCGCGGAUCAGCACGCCGCGGUGAAUACGUUCCCGGGCCUUGUACACACCGCCCGUCACACCAUGAGAGUUUGUAACACCCGAAGCCG
rnacentral:rRNA from 1 species